AGGAGAAGGCAGAUGAAGUUGUCGCAGAGAAGAAGGAAGAGUCUGCUGGAGAUGUAGCAGAGACACCAAAGGAAGCUGAGCCAGCCAAGCCUGCAGAGGCUGAACCAGCAAAGCCUGUCGAGGCUGAGCAAGCCAAGCCUGCUGAGGCUGAGCCAGCUCCAGAGGUGGUGAAGACCGAAGAAGCUGCCGUGGAAGCUGUUAAGGAGACUGAGCCAACAAAACAAGAGGAGGCUGCAGCAGCCAAUGACACCAAAACCAACGAAGAGCCUCUUGUAACCCUUUAAUUAAAAUUCAGUUUCAUUUCUCAAACCCCACCACCGUUGUAAAAUCAAAAAUCUGUAAUAUCCAUAUGUUUCUCACCACUGUUGUUGUAUUGUUAUUGUUACCACAUGUACGUAAUUAUGAAACAAUAGACUUGUGAUAUAUAUUUGUGUGACUUGG
rnacentral:lncRNA from 1 species